rnacentral:rRNA from 1 species
GACGAACGCUGGCGGCGUGCUUAACACAUGCAAGUCGAACGGAAAGGCCCUGCUUUUGUGGGGUGCUCGAGUGGCGAACGGGUGAGUAACACGUGAGUAACCUGCCCUUGACUUUGGGAUAACUUCAGGAAACUGGGGCUAAUACCGGAUAGGAGCUCCUGCUGCAUGGUGGGGGUUGGAAAGUUUCGGCGGUUGGGGAUGGACUCGCGGCUUAUCAGCUUGUUGGUGGGGUAGUGGCUUACCAAGGCUUUGACGGGUAGCCGGCCUGAGAGGGUGACCGGCCACAUUGGGACUGAGAUACGGCCCAGACCCCUACGGGAGGCAGCAGUGGGGAAUAUUGCACAAUGGGCGGAAGCCUGAUGCAGCAACGCCGCGUGCGGGAUGACGGCCUUCGGGUUGGAAAGCGCUUUCGCCUGUGACGAAGCGUGAGUGACGGUAAUGGGUAAAGAAGCACCGGCUAACUACGUG